UACGUAGGUGGCAAGCGUUGUCCGGAUUUACUGGGCGUAAAGAGCGCGCAGGCGGUCGACCAAGUCGCGUGUGAAAGCCCCCGGCUCAACUGGGGAGGGUCACGCGAUACUGAUCGACUCGAAGGCAGGAGAGGGUAGUGGAAUUCCCGGUGUAGUGGUGAAAUGCGUAGAUAUCGGGAGGAACACCAGUGGCGAAGGCGACUACCUGGCCUGUUCUUGACGCUGAGGCGCGAAAGCUAGGGGAGCAAACAGG
rnacentral:rRNA from 1 species